CAUAGUUGGCAACGACAGGUACUGAGGGAGGGCAUGGAAGGAGGGGAAGCGGCAUCAAACUUGCUGUUGGUGUAGAAGAACUAUCCAAGCUUCCACCAAAGUUAGGAAUAGAAAGGUGAGGAAUACCGUGUGAAAAACCUUGCAAAGAGAGGUUUUUUGCGGGGGAUGUUAUGAGACCCGGUGAAGAGAGCGCUAGGACUUGAGUCCUUGCUCUCUUGAGUGGUGUUGUUGAUGAUAAAGCGACUCUACCUCUCUUUCUAGCCCUAGUAGGCCUAGCCUGCAGAUGACACCACAGACUCCUGAGAUAAGGAGAUUGCAUCAUCUUUUGAGACAUACCUGAGCUCUCCUCAUUCAUGGAGUUUGCAGGUACAUCAGGUUUCGGAGCUAUUGGCCUAUACCUUGACAUGAUUUCAGCUGUUGUAGCUGUGGUGGAGUAAGGACUCAACGUCUUAAUCAUGGUGCCUUCUUCCUUUCAGAUUUCACACGCAA
rnacentral:lncRNA from 1 species